UACGUAGGGGGGCUAGCGUUGUCCGGAAUCAUUGGGCGUAAAGCGCGCGUAGGCGGCCCGGUAAGUCCGCUCUGAAAGUCCAGGGCUCAACCCUGGAAAGCGGGUGGAUACUGCCGGGCUAGAAUCCGGAAGAGGCGAGUGGAAUUCCUGGUGUAGCGGUGAAAUGCGUAGAUAUCAGAAGGAACAUCAGUGGCGAAAGCGGCUUCCUGGACCAGAACUGACGAUCAGGCACGAAAGCGUGGGGAGCAAACAGG
rnacentral:rRNA from 1 species